rnacentral:ncRNA from 1 species
GGCAACUAUUACCUCCCAUCGAAAGGAGGUGAGUGCCUUGAAAGAUUUCCUUACUUCGGUUGUUGCCCCUAUCCUUGUGGGUAUAGUGCUUGCACUAUUCGAUCACUGGCUAGAUGAUCGGCAUAACAACCAUAAACGUUAAUAGUUGCCUUUCUACCCUCAACACUUAGCAGGUUGCACUAAGUGUAAAA